rnacentral:rRNA from 1 species
AUUGAACGCUGGCGGCAGGCUUAACACAUGCAAGUCGAGCGGAGAUGAGGUGCUUGCACCUUAUCUUAGCGGCGGACGGGUGAGUAAUGCUUAGGAAUCUGCCUAUUAGUGGGGGACAACAUUCCGAAAGGAAUGCUAAUACCGCAUACGUCCUACGGGAGAAAGCAGGGGAUCUUCGGACCUUGCGCUAAUAGAUGAGCCUAAGUCGGAUUAGCUAGUUGGUGGGGUAAAGGCCUACCAAGGCGACGAUCUGUAGCGGGUCUGAGAGGAUGAUCCGCCACACUGGGACUGAGACACGGCCCAGACUCCUACGGGAGGCAGCAGUGGGGAAUAUUGGACAAUGGGGGAAACCCUGAUCCAGCCAUGCCGCGUGUGUGAAGAAGGCCUUAUGGUUGUAAAGCACUUUAAGCGAGGAGGAGGCUACUAAGACUAAUACUCUUGGAUAGUGGACGUUACUCGCAGAAUAAGCACCGGCUAACUCUGUGCCAGCAGCCGCAGUAAGAC